rnacentral:rRNA from 1 species
CAGUCCCGCGGGAAUACGAAGGGUGCAAGCGUUACUCGGAAUUACUGGGCGUAAAGCGUGCGUAGGUGGUGGUUUAAGUCCGUUGUGAAAGCCCUGGGCUCAACCUGGGAAUUGCAGUGGAUACUGGGUCACUAGAGUGUGGUAGAGGAUAGUGGAAUUUCCGGUGUAGCAGUGAAAUGCGUAGAGAUCGGAAGGAACAUCUGUGGCGAAGGCGACUAUCUGGGCCAACACUGACACUGAGGCACGAAAGCGUGGGGAGCAAACAGGAUUAGAUACCCGAGUAGUCCCUGUCUCUUAUACA